rnacentral:rRNA from 1 species
UAGGGAAUUUUAGGCAAUGGGGGAAACCCUGACCUAGCAACGCCGCGUGUGGGAUGAAGGCCCUCGGGUCGUAAACCACUGUCAGGAGGGAAGAACUGCGGUCCGGGUAACAUUCGGGCCGUUUGACGGUACCUCCAAAGGAAGGUCCGGCUAACUCCGUGCCAGCAGCCGCGGUAAUACGGAGGGACCAAGCGUUGUUCGGAAUUACUGGGCGUAAAGCGCAUGUAGGCGGCUGGGCAAGUCGAAUGUGAAAGCCCUGGGCUCAACCCGGGAAUUGCAUCCGAAACUGCUCGGCUAGAGUCUCGGAGGGGAAGGCAGAAUUCCCAGUGUAGGGGUGAAAUCCGUAGAUAUUGGGAAGAAUACCAGCGGCGAAGGCGGCCUUCUGGACGAUGACUGACGCUGAGAUGCGAAAGCGUGGGGAGCAAACAGGAUUAGAUACCCGUGUAGUCC